ensembl:miRNA
UCCCAUGCUGUCACCCUCUAGAGGAAGCACUUUCUGUUUGUUGUCUGAGAAAAAACAAAGUGCUUCCCUUUAGAGUGUUACCGUUUGGGA